rnacentral:lncRNA from 11 species
CAUUGGAGAGAAAAAAAAAACCCUUCCCUUGACAUGUGUUUUGGAAGCUUGCCAAAAUGUAUCUGCAUUUCCUUUGCAUGGUAUGUGCAUUUGAUAUGUAUUGCAACAACAGAGAGAGAGAAGACAUGUGCACAGAACAUUGUUUUUGAUACAAGGCAGCACUCUAAGGAAAUGUGGUUAAAGGUGUCAAAGCUUAGAAAGUUCACUUCUCACAAUGACAUUGCUAGAAAAUAAGGAGGAAAUCCUUUGUAAUAAGAAGGAAACCUUUUGUAAUAAAAAACCCUCCAAGCAGUCACUUAUUUCUUGAGAUUUAAUUGAUCAUGGAGUGGAAUGACAGGGUGGUAACAAGGAUUAAAGAUAAAGCAGUCAAGAUAAAAUCAAGGUAAAUCAAUCACUACAUUAAAGUAUUUGAAGACUCAUUUGCAUGCAUGUAAAACAGCUGUAUU